rnacentral:rRNA from 5 species
UAGACCUCAAAUCAGUCAGGA